rnacentral:rRNA from 1 species
AUUGAACGCUGGCGGCAUGCUUUACACAUGCAAGUCGAACGGUAACAGGCCUUCGGGUGCUGACGAGUGGCGAACGGGUGAGUAAUGCAUCGGAACGUACCCAGAGGUGGGGGAUAACGCAGCGAAAGCUGUGCUAAUACCGCAUGUGAUCUGAGGAUGAAAGCGGGGGACCGAGCAGCAAUGUUUGGCCUCGCGCCUUUGGAGCGGCCGAUGUCGGAUUAGCUAGUUGGUGGGGUAAAGGCCUACCAAGGCGACGAUCCGUAGCUGGUCUGAGAGGACGACCAGCCACACUGGGACUGAGACACGGCCCAGACUCCUACGGGAGGCAGCAGUGGGGAAUUUUGGACAAUGGGCGCAAGCCUGAUCCAGCAAUGCCGCGUGCGGGAAGAAGGCCUUCGGGUUGUAAACCGCUUUUGGCAGGAACGAAACGGUGCCCGCUAAUACCGGGCGCUAAUGACGGUACCUGCAGAAUAAGCACCGGCUAACUACGUG